rnacentral:misc_RNA from 1 species
AUUUGCUUGUGCGUGCGUCUGUGUGCAGCGUCGGCACGCCUCGGAGUUCCACCGCCCCGCCGCCACGAUUCCGUGCGUUGCCGCGCACCCCCUCCCAAGCGACUGAAAACGAGAACGAAAUAAACUCCGGCAUCGACUUCACGUUCAUCCAUCUUGAUAGCCUUUGUGGGGGUAUCGGGCACUUUGGCCUUUUCCUCCUCCUGUUCACAGGAGUCGGUCGGUGGUGAGGCACCCGCCCAGGCACAGACACGCACACAAAGAAAAGCUCCAGUCUCCAGAGUCGAGCGUAUCAUUACCUCUCAAAACCGCCACAUCCAGACCGACAUCGAUUCCAAAAGAGAAGGGAGAACCUCUCCUCCAUCAUGCUUCGGGCUACUUUUAUUCUCGGAGCACCCUUCAAGAGUGUGCUCCGCCGCCACAAGUACCAUCCAGAGGGUCUGCCGCUCUACAACGACCUGUCGAAGCAGUGGCUGUGUCGCGAGGGCGAGCGGUGGUGGCUGUUGGACGCGCGAGGCCAGCAGUUGCCACAUGUGGCGAAGAUUGCCGCGCAGUACAUGACCGGGCAACAUCGCCCUGAUUUCACGCCGGGCAUGAUGACCGGGGACCAUGUUGUUAUCACAAACAUCAAGGACGCCGUCAUGACGGGUGACAACUGGAUUCGCGUGCCCAUCACCUGGCAGACCGCCUACCCCGGCGGCAAGUACCGAGUGCGCCUCUCCGAGAUGUACGAGCGCGACCCCUGCAUGGUGAUGUGGUGGUAUUUGAAGGACGAGGUGAACCGCCACUUUGUCCGCAAGCUCAAGACGCGCACCGCACCGUUAGAAAAGGCAUGGCUGUACGAGGACAGUGUCCACCCGCACGCCGAGAAGAAUCCGCGCCCGUUGGUGUGGACCGACACUGCAACGAUGGGUUGGCGGUACAAGGAUCCAACGUUUCAGCGGCGCUGGUCACCGAAUCAGUUUAUGAGCUGACAAUGUCUGCUGACGCACUUCUCGGUGAUGGGCCGUAGCCUGUCCGGUGCGAUGCCUGCCAAGUAUGGCUCCUGUUCCCUCUCUUUCAUCGGCGCGUGUAGGUGUCAACGGUGCUGCUUGCAAAACCCUGUGUGGGUUGGUGGUGAUGGUGGUGACGCUGUUGGUGUCGCGACGGUGGCUUACGUGUGUGCGUUUACGGGUGUACAGGUGCCGUUUGAUCUCACAAUAAACCGUGCAACGACGGG